GCGCACACACACACACACACACGCAAAUGUACAGAAACACACACUCCAGCAGAUGUUGCUCCUGGACAUUCCUGGCGUUCAUAGAUGACCAUAGCAAGAGGGGAGCGAAUGCCAAGUGGUGACAGCAUUGCUUCUGUGUGUGUGUGUGUGUGUGUGUGUGUGUAC